rnacentral:rRNA from 1 species
CCGGGAUUAAAACCUGAUGAAACUAAUCAAAUCACAUGAUUAAGAAAGUUAAAAACUCCGGUGGUAAAAAGAUGGACUCGCGUCCCAUUAGCUAGUUGGUGAAGGUAACGGCCCACCAAGGCAACGAUGGGUAGCCGGCCUGAGAGGGUGAACGGCCACAUUGGAACUGAGAAAACGGUCCAAACUCCUACGGGAGGCAGCAGUU